ACCCUCGUAGCUCAACGGUCAGAGCAGCGUCCUUCUGAGACGCGGGCUACGGGUUCGAGUCCCGUCGAGGGUA
rnacentral:tRNA from 1 species